ACUGCUCAGUAACACGUGGACAACCUACCCUGAGGAGGGGGAUAACCCCGGGAAACUGGGGAUAAUACCCCAUAGACUAUGGAUGCUGGAAUGCUCUGUAGUUAAAAGGCCCGCCGCCUCAGGAUGGGUCUGCGGCCGAUUAGGUUGUUGUUGGGGUAACGGCCCAACAAGCCUGUAAUCGGUACGGGUUGUGGGAGCAAGAGCCCGGAGAUGGAUUCUGAGACACGAAUCCAGGCCCUACGGGGCGCAGCAGGCGCGAAAACUUUACAAUGCGAGCAAUCGUGAUAAGGGAACUCCGAGUGCCCGUAAAAUCGGGCUGUCCGCCAGUGUAAAUAACUGGUGAAGAAAGGGCCGGGCAAGACCGGUGCCAGCCGCCGCGGUAAUACCGGCGGCUCGAGUGGUGGCCACUAUUACUGGGCUUAAAGCGUUCGUAGCUGGUCUGUUAAGUCUCUGGGGAAAUCUUCCGGCUUAACCGGAAGGCGUCUCAGGGAUACUGACAGACUAGGGACCGGAAGAGGUGAGAGGUACUCCAGGGGUAGGAGUGAAAUCCUGUAAUCCUUGGGGGACCACCUGUGGCGAAGGCGUCUCACCAGGACGGCUCCGACAGUGAGGAACGAAGGCUGGGGGAGCAAACCGGAUUAGAUACCCGGGUAGUCCCAGCUGUAAACGAUGCGCGUUAGGUGUAUCGGUGACCACGAGUCACCGAGGUGCCGAAGAGAAAUCGUGAAACGCGCCGCCUGGGAAGUACGGUCGCAAGGCUGAAACUUAAAGGAAUUGGCGGGGGAGCAC
rnacentral:rRNA from 1 species